UGAAUGUCUCACUUCUGCACCU
rnacentral:miRNA from 1 species